CAAAAAAAUCGCCAGCGGCCCACCGGGCAAAUGCCCGGUAUGCCCGAUGGCCAGUCCAGCUAUGCAUGUAGUCCUGCAUAAACUAUGGAUUUCACCCCCCUGUGGUAGUUAUGGACUUACACAGAAAAGGGGUGUUAAACUUGGCAGUGAGUGACCUCAAAGCCCCCCCUGAAGACUUCAAUGCUGAGCACGACAUUGAAGGUUUUUGGAACUCUAUUCACCUGGAAAUGAUAAGCCAUGGGUUUUUUCCAAGUGAGUGAUUGCAAAAACUUAUUUACAGUUAUUCAGUGUUUUGAAGUAAUUUAGACUGUAAGUCAAAGCAUACCAUUUUCCGAAGGCAGUGUGAAGAAUCCAUUUUCAGUUCCACCAAGUUACACGGAUUGGGCUCCAUGGAUCGGGAGUGAAACUCGAACAAGUGACAUUGUGCUUAACACAGAGUUUAAAAAUUAAGAACGAGCUCUUCACAUGAAGCACAGCUUAGCAGUGUCACAGAAGACCGUCUGUUUGACGAACUCACCAAGCUAAAGGUAACAUUGCUUUGUAGUUUCCAGAAUAUGUGACAUAAAGCUCUGGGGUUGUUCCAUUUACAGUUUUCCCUAAUUACUGUCAGGUUGGAGUGAUGAGAAACUUGUGCAAAGCCUGCAACAUCGACUCCAAAAAAGCAACUUUUGCUGACCUGUGUGGACCACCGUGCACCGUAUCUGUUUUUCUUUCCACAGUGUAUGAUACUUAGCUAGUUUUUAGCUCAGCUAUGUUCUGGACGUCAGCAGACCCAAAGAUGAGAGUUCAUAUACUAAAUACUUAAAAACAAAAUUCUGUUUCAGACUGAUGCUCAGAGGAUGGACAUCACAGCUCUCCCUCUCUGGAACACCUGGCCAUUUCCAGCGGUGUGUGAGUCUUAGUUUUUUGACACAUACAAACUGUUAGAAUUUUGCUGUGUGUCUGAGAUGUAUUCAAACUUUUGUGACACAUGUUCAGAAGUCUGUUUAUGAUCACUUGCAAUGACAAAGUUUGCAAGUGAUCUGUCUUUUAGGUACUGAAGCCACGUAAAAGGGAAAUCCUCUUUCUUGACCCAUUAUACACAAAGGCAGGAUUUGGUGGCCAUGUUUGAAUUUUGAGGUCACAUGUUUAUAAGCAUUUUUGGUUUGUUCCACAGUUUUCAGGAACCUGUUCAGUGUUCCAGGUUAAGUGCAUCCCAGAUCAUGUUCUGUUCAUCUCAAGUGUUCACACAUAGAGUACAUUCACAUGCUUGCUUAUAAACUAUAUCAGCAUGAUGCAUCACCAUUUGAUUCUUUUUCUCAUCUUCACAUUCUGAUCAAGUCAGUGAUGCUGUCUUUAGAUGAGAGUUUCAGACAUAAGUAGGCUCUUCAAAAUAUUCUAGUUUAACAUAAAACGCUAACAUUAAAUGUUAGUUUAUAAAUUAUGCCAACCUGAAAACAAAGCUGAAACUGCUGUGUAUAACACACUUUGACCAACUGUGAGCAUGGGACUGUACUUUUUCAUUUUGCAUCGAGGUCGUGUUCCUCAGGCCUGUACUUAAAGUUGGUGCUAUUAGCAAUUAAGAUUUCACACCCGUCAUGACGGGUUAACUGUUUACUUAACUUCUCUCCCGGGCAGUGGUCAGUAAAAAAUAGCUUUGACUUGUAAGUAUGUGGUAGUUUGAGUGUAUGGUGAAUGAUAUUAAUUACACCAGUCUUCUUUUAAGGGAUUUUAUUAACAAGUCUUUAUUUUCAAUGUAAUACAGGGUUUUCCAGACCAAGACUUUGGAAUUGACUGUGGGAUCUUCAUGCUAAUUGUUAUUUUUCUCUUCUGUUCCUUGAGAUUCAUACAAAACUUAAUUUAAGCUUCAAAACAAUGAAAUUUGUAUUUUUUGUCCAAAACAGUCUGCUCUGUACGUGGCACUGGAUGCACCAUUUGUUUAUACUAUAGUAAGUAUUCUAUUUCAUUUCAGAGCAAUGGAGUCUUGAAUCUUUUGAAAGUUGUUAAAUAUGUUUCAUAUUGAAAUUUUACAGUCAGACAUGUACAUGUGGAAACUGUGGUGCUUGCUAUUGAUGGAGAACUUUGAUCUCAGGAGGCAUUUAUAUUUUGACUUCUGUACUAUGUUGUGUCAAGGUUUAGACACAUUAACAAUAUCAACAUUUUCUGUUAAGCUUUUUGCACAUUGUAGAGAGGAAGCCAAAGCUGUGCUUCAAGGACAACAUGUGCCCAUUUUCAGAUUAAUAAAAGCGCAAGUUCCAGGAAGUCGGUCAGGCUAGUAUUCACUUUAAACACUAGUGUAAUUACAUGGUUAGUGACACGUGACUCACUGUUAAAAUAACUGUUCUGCAUCAGCGAAUAGCUAAGUUUUUAUCCUCAUUUGCCUGACACAGGAGCCAGUAGUUGUUGAAGAUCUGCCUCCUGCUGUGCAGUGGGUUGUCCAAAGUAAGGCACUUUUCCGUGGACACGUAACAAUGCCAAAAUAUCUGUCCUUAAAUAAAGAGGACCAGCAGAGGGUAUUAAGAGACAUGUCGGAGGAAGAAGACACUGGAACAAGGGACUUCUUCCUCUUUUUUUUUUUCAGUUUGCAGAGGACAUGGAGCUCUUUUUAAAAGCAUGUGCUGACAAGCAGGGACUACGGGUCAAUGCGAUGUUUGACAUUUAAUGGACAGAUGAAGGCACUGGCUGUUUGGUUUCUUUAUGUGUUGUUGGGUUUUUUGGGGGGUUUUUUAAUCAGUGUACAAAAUUCCAAUUAAAAUUAUUUCAAAAUGUUGUUCACUUGUUUCCAUGUCCAUACUUCAAAAUAAAAAGCUUGUUGCUAUUAACAGUAAUGUAUUACCUUGUAAUCAAUAUGUUUAUACAUUUUACACAUUAACCCUCUGGGCUCUAUGCUGACCAUUUGUGGCCACUUUUUUUUGACCAUUUUUGCUGUGUUAAUGCAAAUGUUAUGAAACUUCCCAAGGGUCUAGAUUUUGUUUUUAGCGUUUAUAAUGUUCAACUUCAGCUUUUUAAAUACAUAAAAAAUAUAUACACUAAGCAUCCUAUUGUUCCUCUUGGCUCUAUCAUGGCAACUUUUGGCCAACUGACCCAUUAUAACAACAUUUUUAAAUUCCUUGUUAUUGACACUUUAGGUAAAAUCGCUUUCACUGUAAACUCAACACAUGAAAAUUAUAGUUUUUAAUGUUUUGGUUUUUUUACCAAAUUACAUCAUUUACCCAUUUUUGGCCAAACAAGCAAUUUCAUGUAAUCAUGCAAGUUUGAUUUUAAGGAUCUCAUAGUUUGUGUUUGUGCAUGACAUUGCAGCACAAAUAUGUAUUUGCAAGGUAGACUGGAAUAAAUUAUGACGUAUCAAAUAUUACACAGGCUGCAGUGAAUUUCUGUUGAUGCACUACUGAGCUUUGAGUUUCCCAGUCAAACUUAGCUUUGAAGCACAUGCUAAAAGCACUUUUACUCUUGUACUUUUCAAGAUACCAUAGCCAAAAUAUUAACUCUCAAAGAAGAAUCAAACUACUACAGAAUAGCAUCAUGUAUAUACAUAUGCUAUUCCCUUUCGCUCACGCUGAUAUCCCAUUGUAAUUCACCCAACAUUUGUCUCAUCUGAUUUGAAAGUAUUUAAACUUCCAAAUCUCAUCCUCCUCAGUGACUCGCGUAUCAUCCCAUUUCUGAUUUCCAUUCUUUUCCUGAGUAUACCUCCCCCCUUCACCUGCUUCCUACAAAUCACCCCAAUACUGUGAAAGUUUCCAAGUGGUGGACAAUGCUCUAUUUUGACACAGAAGCUGAAAACUAGUUUUAUUCUAUGAUUGCACACAAUACGGGAUCUGCUGCUCCAAAUAAUCAUUUCAAAGGUUUCAGUAUCUUUAAAGUAUUUUGAUUGGCUAGAUAAAGUUAAUUUUACCCUGUAUUACUGUAGAGGUGACUGCAUUAACUGAUGCAGUUUCUCCUAUUGCCCAACAUAUCACUUGUGUCUUGUUCAGUUACCGAAGUCUGCACAUUUUUGCAGCAUGCAUAGUUUUGUGAGUUAAGCACACAAGACACAGAAGUGGUGUUCCAGAACGUUUAUUCAACGAUUCCCUAUACAAAAAGUUUAGGA